UAAGCGGAGGAAAAGAAACUAACAAGGAUUCCCCUAGUAACGGCGAGUGAAGCGGGAUGAGCUCAAAUUUAAAAUCUGGCGGCCUCAGGUCGUCCGAGUUGUAGUCUAGAGAAUCGUUUUCCGCGUUGGCCUGUGUACAAGUCCCUUGGAACAGGGCGUCAUAGAGGGUGAGAAUCCCGUCCUUGACACAGACUACCAAUGCUUUGUGAUGCGAUCUCGAAGAGUCGAGUUGUUUGGGAAUGCAGCUCAAAAUGGGUGGUAAAUUCCAUCUAAAGCUAAAUAUUGGCGAGAGACCGAUAGCGAACAAGUACCGUGAGGGAAAGAUGAAAAGCACUUUGGAAAGAGAGUUAAACAGUACGUGAAAUUGUUAAAAGGGAAACGAUUGAAGUCAGUCAUGCUUUCCGAGACUCAGCCGAUUCUGUCGGUGUACUUCUCGGUUGGCAGGCCAGCAUCAGUUUCGAUCUGUGGAAAAGGUUGGAGGGAACGUGGCAUCCUCGGAUGUGUUAUAGCCCUUCUUCGAAUACAUAGAGCGGGACUGAGGAACGCAGCGCGCCUUUUAUUAGGUUGGCCCUCGGGUACAUACGCGCUUAGGAUGCUGGCAUAAUGGCUUUAAACGACCCGUCUUGAAACACG
rnacentral:rRNA from 7 species